rfam:Clostridium difficile 630 complete genome
AAGUCUUUUAAACUAGUCCAGAGAGACUGGGAAAGAUAUCUCAUAGCUAAUGAAUAGAGUUAUGUAUAGAUAAAAUCCUUAUGCCUCUUUUGGUGUGAGGAUUUUUUUAU